AUCAAAAUGGGUGUCGCAGUAUGGAGAAGGAUGGUGUAGUCAGGCUGGGGGAGGAAAUGAAGCUAUCCCACCAGUGGUACAUCACUGCAUCUCUGCCCCAUAGCGGCUGAACAAAUCAGGGGGGUACAAUGAUUUAGAAACAGCUCCACUGUGGCAAAUUGUGAAUGCACGCAGUACUGAUCAGCUGUCCCAUACAAUCAGCCCAUCUGCUCGAUACCAACUCGACUGAUAUAAUCUGAUCUUUAAAAAGAUGGCAUCAACCAUCCCUGCAAUCAGCAAACAGUCCGAUGAUGGUGAUGUUCACCUCUUAAACCUGUCAAGUCUCAUGUUUUACUCAUGAGGUUUCAGAACCCUUUUCUGUUACAGCAAUGAAAUCAAACUCUUUCCAACUGUCAUACUAUCAAAGAACAUCCCAUAAAAGGCCCUUUUGGCUUCAGUAGUUUCUUUCGUGUGUGGUGGCAGCCAGUAGGAGAUAAUGUUGUGAAUAAAGCCAUUUCUG